rnacentral:rRNA from 1 species
UACGAAGGGUGCAAACGUUGCUCGGAAUUACUGGGCGUAAAGGGCUCGUAGGCGGCCAACUAAGUCAGACGUGAAAUCCCUCGGCUUAACCGGGGAACUGCGUCUGAUACUGGAUGGCUUGAGUUUGGGAGAGGGAUGCGGAAUUCCAGGUGUAGCGGUGAAAUGCGUAGAUAUCGGGAGGAACACCUGUGGCGAAAGCGGCGCACUGGACCAUAACUGACGCUGAGGCGCGAAAGCUAGGGGAGCAAACAGG